UACGAAGGGGGCGAGCGUUGUUCGGAUUUACUGGGCGUAAAGGGCGCGCAGGCGGCUCAUUUUGUCAGGCGUGAAAGCCCGGGCUUAACCUGGGAGGUGCGUUUGAUACGGAUGGGCUAGAGUUCGGGAGAGGAGAGUGGAAUUCCCAGUGUAGAGGUGAAAUUCGUAGAUAUUGGGAAGAACACCGGUGGCGAAGGCGGCUCUCUGGACCGAGACUGACGCUGAGGCGCGAAAGCGUGGGGAGCAAACAGG
rnacentral:rRNA from 1 species